AAAAUAGUCGUACAAGGUUUCCGUAGGUGAACCUGCGGAAGGAUCAUUA
rnacentral:rRNA from 1 species